CCCUUAGAUGUUCUGGGCUGCACGCGCGCUACACUGAAGCUAUCAACACGUUUUCCCUCCCUGAGAAGGGCGGGUAACCUUUUGAAUCAGCUUCGUGGUAGGGAUCGGGGCUUGCAAUUGUUCCCCGUGAACCAGGAAUUCCUAGUAGACGCGAGUCAUAAGCUCGCAUCGAUUAAGUCCCUGCCCUUUGUACACACCGCCCGUCGCUACUACCGAUUGAACGUCUUAGUGAGGCAUUUGGACCGACGCAUCUCAGUUUAACCGCUGGUUUGUGUUGGAAAGACUUCCAGACUUGAGCGUUUAGAGGAAGUAAAAGUCGUAACA
rnacentral:rRNA from 1 species